rnacentral:rRNA from 1 species
GACUAACGCUGGCGGCAUGCAUCAUACAUGCAAGUCGAACGGCAGCACGGGGGCAACCCUGGUGGCGAGUGGCGAACGGGUGAGUAAUAUAUCGGAACGUACCCUGGAGUGGGGGAUAACGUAGCGAAAGUUACGCUAAUACCGCAUACGAUCUAAGGAUGAAAGUGGGGGAUCGCAAGACCUCAUGCUCCUGGAGCGGCCGAUAUCUGAUUAGCUAGUUGGUGGGGUAAAGGCCUACCAAGGCAUCGAUCAGUAGCUGGUCUGAGAGGACGACCAGCCACACUGGGACUGAGACACGGCCCAGACUCCUACGGGAGGCAGCAGUGGGGAAUUUUGGACAAUGGGGGCAACCCUGAUCCAGCAAUGCCGCGUGAGUGAAGAAGG